UCGUAGCUCAGCUGGUUAGAGCGCACGCCUGAUAAGCGUGAGGUCGGAGGUUCAAGUCCCCCCGGGCC
rnacentral:tRNA from 1 species